GCCAAGGUAGCUCAGUUGGCAGAGCAGCGGACUGAAAAUCCGCGUGUCGGCAGUUCGAUUCUGCCCCUUGGCA
rnacentral:tRNA from 1 species